GUCAGCACCCCCGGCUGAAGCACGGGGGCUUCGUGCCCCCCGCUUUCAGGUAGCUGACCAGCUUAAGCCUUAACUGGCUACGUGAGCGAGCAAGAGUUAAAGUUCCUACCCUGGAAUGCGUGCUAGUUCCAGGCUCAUGAACCAAAUCGUUAAACAGUCCUAAGGGGUUAAGACAGUGCGAUUUGGAAAGUACCGACUCUGAACAUUAGCGUUCGCGCAGCGUGCGCGUUAGCGCAAGCGCAAACAUUACCCCGCAAGGG
rnacentral:ncRNA from 2 species